rfam:Triticum aestivum genome assembly, contig: Triticum_aestivum_CS42_TGACv1_scaffold_514094_6BS
AAUCUACUCCCUCCGUUCCGAAUUACUUGUCUCAGAUUUGUCUAGAUACGGGUAUAUCUAGACUUAUUUUAGUGCUAAAUACAUCCGUAUCUAGAGAAAUCUAAGACAAGUAAUUCGGAACGGAGGGAGUACAUC